GCGACGACGAUCGCCGACGAUAUUAUACCGAGAGGACGACGAUCGCGGACGUCGCGCACUCGUUGCCCACUUCACGUUUAUUUCACUUACGUCCCCUCGAUUUCUACACCCCUCUCUCUCUCUUUCUCCGCGGUUGCUGCUCGGAUCUCGAUCCCGCUGAUCCUCGAUCGACUCGCUUGGAACUUCCGGCCGCGAGUGAAUCCACCUUGCGCUUGUCCCGCUGGAUAGGUUCCGCCUUUCCUCCUCGUCCUCUCUCUCUCCAGCGCUGGCUGGAAGUUACGCGAACAGCACGAAUACGCGCCGGCCGAUCCCGUACGUUCGCGAUCGUUACUCGCGGAUCUCUCUGUCACGCGAAAAUAAACAAAAUGGCGGCGAGUGCGGCGGCUCGGUCGCGCUCGCUACCAGCACGUCUCCCGCACGAUCGUGCGACCGCCGCGGACAGUGCGACUGCAUAGAUGGUUCGAUGCAACGCGACGGAUUAUCUGAAAGAUGACCGAUAAGCGUCGGAGGUUAUCUCGCGUAGAUAAUAUUUAGGAUUUCUAUUGCUUCAUUAUUGAAAAGAAUUUUUCUUGCUACGGUUAACUUGCUUGGUGACAAAAGACACCAAUUUUAUUUGAUGUAUUUUUAAUGUAUAUUUAAUGCAUAUAUUUAGUACUUAUCUUGUAUGGGAAAGACGUUGCCUCACAUGAAGAGUUGUAAAUAAAUGACAAGAUGAAAGUUUAUAAACAAUUCUGAACAUUAUAUAUAUAUAUAGAGAUGAAAAGAAGGAUAGAAAGUGUUUUGAAGCGCUAAGUGGAUCGCAUCCCAAAUAACAUUUGUUCUUAGCGAAGUGGCAGAGCGGGAGAAUUUAAAACGAAUAAAUUUGCGUUUUUCCUGGCAGACUAAAAAUAAUCCGGAUGGAAGAUAUAAAUAUCUUGGCGACGAAACGUUUAAGUGUUUAUUUAAACAUAUAAGCACACGUGAAACAUAGUCGAGUACAUGUAAAUAGAAUUCCUGUACGUUCGUUUCGGCGAUUAUAAUAAAAAUUCACUUUAUCGAAUUAUUAUUCCAGUAAUAUGUAUGCAAACAAAACAAAAGUUGCGUUCUUCGUCAGUUUAGGAUUUGUGUCGUGCCAUAUGUACGCUUCUGAGAGAUCUGCGAGAGAGAUAGGUAAUCAGAUAUACCCUCUAUUCCAAUAAUAGAAUUGCUAUGUACGCUCGAAAAUGUAUCACAGUAGAACAAGAGAUUUAAGACGAUGGCAAAAAGGGCAAACAGCAUUACACAGCAGCUGAUACACCAUAAAAAUUGAACUUGAAUGUCUAAGAAAAUCUUAUAGCUUAUAUUAAACCAAUUUUAUUUAAUAAGCACUUAUUGAUAAUUAUACUGAGAAUAAUAUACGUACGGAAUAUCUUAAUGAUCGAAAACCAUCGUAAAAUUUAAAAAGAAAAGAAAAUUUAAUUUAAAAAAUUACAUUUUAAAAGAAGUUUAUUUGCAGACAAUAAAUAAUCAUGCAUAUGCAUGUUGCACAUACAUUUUACACUUCGUAAUAUUUUUGUUUUCUUAUUCUUUCAAGUGGCAUAACUGGUAUAAAGUAAGAUUUUUAAACGUGUUCAGCAAAAAUGUAUUGUUUGUUAAAAUAAUUUAAUUUAUGUAAAAACCUAAAUUUAAUUUAUGUAAAAAAUUAAUUAUUCAGAUAUUAAUAAUUGGAAAUAUUGGAAUAAUUGCAACCAAAAUUAUCCAUUUUUACUGUAGAGCAGAAAAAUCUGAGAAUCAAAUACAAAUCAAAUCUUAAUAAAACUACAAGCACAUA